CUUAUAACUGUAAACCCAUAGCACUGCCAUUCCAGGAGAGACCACCAGUAGACUGGUGUCAGUUGAGCCUCCUCCAACCAUACCCUACAGUGAUGGGAACAGCCAAAGGAGCACCAAAUUUACCAAUAAAGAAUGCUCCUGUCUUGUCUGCAAAUAAUAAAAACAUCAACCUCCAGAUUAGAAAAUUGAUGUGUUGCUUUCCAUAAAAACAAAUGUUCCAGUCCUUCUUGACUCAUUCCCCACAGGUGCCAGGCGCAAUGCUACCUGGCUGACCUCUGCUGAAGAUGAAUACGGAGCCGGAGGUGUGGGGCUAUUGGGGAAAACCCUGCCCUUUCCUGGCCAAAGUCCCGCUGAGUUCACUGAGCUAGAGCUGGGAUUUAAGUUGGGAGGGGAGGAAGAAAUGUGAAUUUCAAGAGUUGGGAGGGGUUUAUUAUUAUUAUAGCAAAAUCACCCGGCCUUUCCAGCACAGGUUUCCAGCAGAUGUUGGCAAACUGUAUUCACUCCUCUUGGUCCUGCCCAGGACUCGUUUCUGGACAAGAUACUCUGAAUCAGAAAACCAUCUGAAAUAAUUCUUCAUUUUCUAAUUGGCUUUUAUCGCUACAAGCCCUGCAAGCAUCAGGUCAGCCCCAUUAGUUUAAUGGGCACAGAGGAAUUUUUAGAAUGACUUACUGACCGUGGAAAAAUGUGUUCAGCAGACAGUAUCAGCAUCAGAUCAAAAAAGCAAAAUCAUGCAAGGCCUUUGAAAAGAAAAACAGCUGAUGGGCUUGGAGCAAAGCGACCAGCGAAGCGGUACUGUCUGAGCACAGGCGAGGGAGGGAGGCAUUUUGGGUGUCAGCCAGCUGGGUGGAAGGACACAGCCAGAUUUGCCUGUAUUUAUAUUUCCCAGAAGAGCCCUGGGCUGUGUAGUGUUGGGAUUUGCUAUGCUACACCUGAUCUUCAGAGCUCCGAGGCAUUGGGAUGGGGCACAGGUCUGCAAGCGAUGCUCCGUGUGUAGGGCUCAGCCCAGGAAAUGUGAUGGAGGCAGGACCCCAAACUUGUGUGCAAGCAAGUUGGAGGAUAAGGGAGAAAACCACAGUGACCUCUGAGUCAGGUAAUUUAGGGCCGACGCGUCUCCCUUUCACUCCCCCCCAUAUAUUCUAUGUUGUGCCCCCAAAGCAUUUAGCACGGGCCAUGCUUUAUACCUCCUGAGCACUGCUUUGUGAAGCAUGCUCUGAAAGCUGGGAUAGAUUUAAGGUCUCAUUUUGCAGACCCCAGUGCCUGUUUGUUUACUGGUUUGUGUCGCUUUACAUUUCCAAUUAAAACAAAGCUUUCUAAAGCCUAUAAAGCCUCCAAGAGAAUAUGCUGGUGGAGCAGGAAGGAGCCUUGAAGCUGUCGAUUACUAUGAACUUUCCGUGACACCGCUCAGCGUCUGUUUCCAGACUUAUAUUUAUUUAUGAAUGUAGUAGCAUUUAUUACUGAUUUUAUCUGCAAAGAUAACACUUCUUCCCUAGAUGUUUUCUACGCUUCGGUUAUAAUUACUGCCUGCUUCUCAAACAUACUUCUGCAUUAUUUAGCAUGGUACAAUGUCAGAGCUGCAACAAUGGCAAUUUAUUACUGGGAUUCUGGGGUUACACCUGAUCUGGGGAACACAUACAGAUCUCCAUGUUCCCAUGUGUGCCUUCAUCUGAGGACAUCUCUCAGAGACCCUCAUAGUGCAGAUAGAGCCAGGAACUCUGUUUUCUGCUAAAGUGGGGAUUGCACAAAGCCCCUGCUUGAAGGGAUACAUCACCAAGGCACUGGAAUGGGCUGCCCAGGGAGGCGGUGGAGUCACCAACCCUGGAGGUGUUCAAGGAAUGUUUGGACAUUGUGUUGAGGGACAUGGUUUAAUGAGAACUAUUGGUGAUGGGUGGAUGGUUGGACUGGGUGAUCCUGUGGGUCUUUUCCAACCUUGGUGAUUCUAUGAUUCUGUGAUUCUAAGGCACAGCAUAGACACAUUGGAACAUCUUUUCUUCUGCCUGCAGCCAUUGGGUGCUGGAGGCAGCAUGGUGAUGGUACCUUUCCCCCUCAAGCAGGAAAAGGUGUUAAAAGGCACACUUGGCCACAGCUCCUGAAAAAAAACAAUGGCAUGGUUUAGUGGAUGUUGUGGUAAUGGGUCAACAGUUUGCCUGGAUGAUCGUAGUGAUCUUUUCCAACCUUAGUGAUUCUCUGAAAAAUGAGACUGUCUAGCAAAAUGUGAUGUCACUUAUCUCUUCUGUGCCCACCUUGCUCUUAGCCUACAUCUUCCCUCCCUGAGAAUCAGACAUGGCAUGGGUUUAUACUCCACUAGCCAUCAAAGGAUCUGUUUCACUGUUAGUCCAUGCUUAGUCCACUGUUAGUCCAGUCUCUUUAAGCCACUGAGACUGAAGUGAAUACUUACAGUUAAGCAUUAAAAACAAUAAAAUAAAAUAAAAUAAAAUAAAAUAAAAUAAAAUAAAAUAAAAUAAAAUAAAAUAAAAUGAAAAAAAAACAACACUUUUUUGAUGUUAUCGAACUCCAAUGCUGUUGGCUGUGGAGUCUCCAUCCUUGGAGAUACUCGAAUCCCAACUGGACUCAGUCUUAAGCUGCUAUAGUUCCCCCUACAUUAAGGAACUGAUGUAAUCAAUCAAAAGGCAUCUGAUGUAAUCAAAGGAGGAAGAAAGGAAGUUUUUCACCCAGAGGGUGGUGACACA
rnacentral:lncRNA from 1 species